ensembl:processed_transcript C230012O17Rik RIKEN cDNA C230012O17 gene
AAAGGCGCCGCGGCGGGACGGCGGGGAGUAGGCGACCGCUGCCUCCCGGAACUUUGCGGACAUCGCACCGCAGCUCCACAGCUCCGAGCCCCCGGCGCAGGAGGAGGCCGAGGCGGCGGCGGAGAGUCGGGGCAUCGCCCGGCAGUGCCUCCGCCUUGCCGGCUGCCGGCGGCUCCCGCCCCCGGUUAACCAGCGCUCGCUCUUAAAGGCGCCCGCUGCUGGUUAGGCCGCGAGGUAAGCCAGCACAUUGCUUUUGUCCUGGCAAUCAGGGGGCUAAUGGAGGAAGAUCGUGAGUUCUAGGACAGCUGGAGCAACAUGCCAAGUCCCUGUCUCAAAGGAAGGAAAAGAAACCAGUUUCCACGUGUACCCAAGGUUUACAGCAUAGCGAGGUACACAUGGUAAGGCCUACAAAUGGUUCUUCUAAUUUGUAGAUAAAUUGAAAUUUCUCAACUCUGACUACACAUUAGAGUCACCAGAAAGCUUGCUAAAAGUAGCACCUGGGACCCACCCUCAGGGAAGCCAGACAGAAAUGAAACAGAAGGUCCUCGGUGAUUCUGAUCGCCAUGGCUGGGAGCCCCGGGAUGUCCACACAGCAGAGUUCGUGUAGACCUGGGUGGGAAGCAUGAUGGUAUGUGUGCUCUUUCUUCCAUACGCACAGUGAUCCUGACUGAUCUUUCUGGAUUCGCAGUGGUGCUACAGAGCAUGGCAGGCAGGUGAUAGACUUCUAACUGCUUUCUGCUCUGCAUUGCCCCUGAAACAUUCCCAACUGUGGUGCAGACUGCAUGUGGUUUAUCUCAGUCGGCAGCACCGCCUGAUUCCUAAGUCAUACUCUCUCCUGUGCCUUUCUGCACGUGCAAUGUAUAGGCAGUCAUCAGCACACGGCAGUCUCUGGACAAGUGAGAAGGGAAGAAAACACCACCGAAGAGUUCCUCAAGAAGAGGUCUAGAAGCAAGAAGCAAGUGGUUUGGGAUCCCUGGAUAAUUAAAAAAAAAAAAUCACUCAUUAAAUUUUAGCUAUUUGGAUUCUGACAUUAACAUGAUAUGUGUGUGUGUGUGUGUGUGUGUACUCAUAUUGCCCCUUCUAAAUACAAUAGUGAUGUGCUUAUUGGAAAUUGUAUUAAUAUUAAUUCCUCUUAAAUGUGCAUAACGGUAUUAGUUACUUUUCUGCUGCUGUGCUAAAACACCUUAACCAGAAACAACUUAAGCAAUUUUUGGUGGUGAGGAGGGGGCUAUGGUUUCAGAGCGAGAGUCCAUGUUGCAGCAGAAAGCUGAAAGUCCACAGUCCACUUCAGAACAAGAACAGAGAGGGCAAACUGGAAGUGGGCUAGCACUGUAAACUCUCAAAUUCCACCCCUAGUGAUGAACUUCCUCCAGGAAGGCUGCACCUCCUAAAAUCCUAUAACCUUCCCAAACAGUACUACUAACUGGAGACACAUAUUCAAAUAUAUGAGCCUAUGAGGGACUGUGGACUUGCCCCAGCCAGCUAGGCUCAGUCUCCACUGAUCAAAGGGAAGGGUAAAUAUCUGAGUGAGGUAACCAGAGGACUCAAGAUUUUUGUGCUCAAGACUAGCACAAAGCAGCCACUUCUUACUUUCAUUAUUACAGCAAGCAAAAUAUGAGGUGACGCUCAUAGUGUAAGCAACUACAAGUAUAGUUUGCAAUACACCUAGUGUUACAUCUUAUCAUCUCGGCCUUGUGAAGUCUUGCCCACAGAGAUGAUGAGGACGUGCCAGGAAAUUCCCUUUAUGCCCUUGCUUUCAAGUGAACUUGUUUAUCAUAGUUUAUACAUUUCUUUCUAAAAGGCCACCGUGUGAGAAGAACAUCCUGCCCUUGGCCCAUACAUGGUUCACAGUAAGUUCACACUGUUCUGCCAAUCACAUUGUGCCUAAUGGCUGCUGCUUUGAGAACUGUAUAAAGGCUCACCAGACAGGCUGUGAGUGGUUGUUCUUUCUCCAUGUGCAGGGCAACCCAACAUGUUGGAACAAUAAAUUCCUCUUGCUUUUUGCGUUGAUUCCCGGCUCUGUAUCAUUCACUCAGGGAGUCCCCAGUAAGCUAAGGCUCACCAGAGUUUUACAGAACGAGCCUGUGUCCAUCUUAGGCUUGAAAACCGUUUUACAAAAAAGACAAACUAGAUUCAUUCCUCUUUAUGAUUAGAUGUCUGCUUUUCAAGGAUUGGGCUACCAUCUGUAACCUUAAUUACAAAUGUUUCUGUACUGCCUGUUCCAGGAAACAGCAACAAUGUCCUUGUUUCAGGAACUUGUUAGACCAUUUUGCAACUGUGACCAUCUUACAACCCUACCUUUGUUUCAAAGGGUUAUUAGGGUUACCUUGUAAUGACUACCUUGUUAUGUCCUGUUUCUGUAACACCACCCAUUUGUGUGCCAAAUUCUCUAUUUGGAAACUCCCCACCCCUGAGCUAUAAAAGCCUUUAUCUUCCCCAUGCCUGAUUCUGACCUUUUGAACCCCACCUUAGUGGGAGAUGGUCAUGUAAAUAAAUAAAAAAGCUUGUUU